rnacentral:rRNA from 1 species
UACGGAGGAGGCAAGCGUUAUCCGGAAUUAUUGGGCGUAAAGCGUCCGCAGGUGGCACCUCAAGUCUGCUGUCAAAGACCGGGGCUUAACCCCAGAAAGGCAGUGGAAACUGAAGCGCUAGAGUGCAGUAGGGGUAGAGGGAAUUCCCGGUGUAGCGGUGAAAUGCGUAGAGAUCGGGAAGAACAUCGGUGGCGAAAGCGCUCUGCUGGACUGCAACUGACACUCAGGGACGAAAGCUAGGGGAGCGAACGGG